rnacentral:rRNA from 1 species
GACAGAGGUCCCGAGCGUUGUUCGGAAUUACUGGGCGUAAAGAGCUCGUAGGCGGUUUGUCGCGUCUGCUGUGAAAUCCCGAGGCUCAACCUCGGGCCUGCAGUGGGUACGGGCAGACUGGAGUGCGGUAGGGGAGAAUGGAAUUCCUGGUGUAGCGGUGGAAUGCGCAGAUAUCAGGAGGAACACCGAUGGCGAAGGCAGUUCUCUGGGCCGUAACUGACGCUGAGGAGCGAAAGCGUGGGGAGCGAACAGG